rnacentral:lncRNA from 1 species
CCCCACAGUCCUGUUAGGAACAGGAGGAGAACCUCAUCCUAACAUGAGCAGAGUCGAAGGCCUGGUUAUUUAGAGACCGGAUGGAGGGAGAGGCUCUUGCAACGGCCCUUACGUGCCCCCAUAGCCUUGUUAGGAACAGGAGGAGAACCUCAUCCUAACAUGAGCAAAGUCGAAGGCCCGAUUAUUUAGAGACUGGAUGGGG